UUAAAUUGAAGAGUUUGAUCAUGGCUCAGAUUGAACGCUGGCGGCAGGCCUAACACAUGCAAGUCGAACGGUAACAGAAAGCAGCUUGCUGCUUUGCUGACGAGUGGCGGACGGGUGAGUAAUGUCUGGGAAACUGCCUGAUGGAGGGGGAUAACUACUGGAAACGGUAGCUAAUACCGCAUAAUGUCGCAAGACCAAAGAGGGGGACCUUCGGGCCUCUUGCCAUCGGAUGUGCCCAGAUGGGAUUAGCUAGUAGGUGGGGUAAAGGCUCACCUAGGCGACGAUCCCUAGCUGGUCUGAGAGGAUGACCAGCCACACUGGAACUGAGACACGGUCCAGACUCCUACGGGAGGCAGCAGUGGGGAAUAUUGCACAAUGGGCGCAAGCCUGAUGCAGCCAUGCCGCGUGUAUGAAGAAGGCCUUCGGGUUGUAAAGUACUUUCAGCGGGGAGGAAGGGAGUAAAGUUAAUACCUUUGCUCAUUGACGUUACCCGCAGAAGAAGCACCGGCUAACUCCGUGCCAGCAGCCGCGGUAAUACGGAGGGUGCAAGCGUUAAUCGGAAUUACUGGGCGUAAAGCGCACGCAGGCGGUUUGUUAAGUCAGAUGUGAAAUCCCCGGGCUCAACCUGGGAACUGCAUCUGAUACUGGCAAGCUUGAGUCUCGUAGAGGGGGGUAGAAUUCCAGGUGUAGCGGUGAAAUGCGUAGAGAUCUGGAGGAAUACCGGUGGCGAAGGCGGCCCCCUGGACGAAGACUGACGCUCAGGUGCGAAAGCGUGGGGAGCAAACAGGAUUAGAUACCCUGGUAGUCCACGCCGUAAACGAUGUCGACUUGGAGGUUGUGCCCUUGAGGCGUGGCUUCCGGAGCUAACGCGUUAAGUCGACCGCCUGGGGAGUACGGCCGCAAGGUUAAAACUCAAAUGAAUUGACGGGGGCCCGCACAAGCGGUGGAGCAUGUGGUUUAAUUCGAUGCAACGCGAAGAACCUUACCUGGUCUUGACAUCCACGGAAGUUUUCAGAGAUGAGAAUGUGCCUUCGGGAACCGUGAGACAGGUGCUGCAUGGCUGUCGUCAGCUCGUGUUGUGAAAUGUUGGGUUAAGUCCCGCAACGAGCGCAACCCUUAUCCUUUGUUGCCAGCGGUCCGGCCGGGAACUCAAAGGAGACUGCCAGUGAUAAACUGGAGGAAGGUGGGGAUGACGUCAAGUCAUCAUGGCCCUUACGACCAGGGCUACACACGUGCUACAAUGGCGCAUACAAAGAGAAGCGACCUCGCGAGAGCAAGCGGACCUCAUAAAGUGCGUCGUAGUCCGGAUUGGAGUCUGCAACUCGACUCCAUGAAGUCGGAAUCGCUAGUAAUCGUGGAUCAGAAUGCCACGGUGAAUACGUUCCCGGGCCUUGUACACACCGCCCGUCACACCAUGGGAGUGGGUUGCAAAAGAAGUAGGUAGCUUAACCUUCGGGAGGGCGCUUACCACUUUGUGAUUCAUGACUGGGGUGAAGUCGUAACAAGGUAACCGUAGGGGAACCUGCGGUUGGAUCACCUCCUUACCUUAAAGAAGC
rnacentral:rRNA from 1 species